ACGAACGCUGGCGGCGUGGAUAAGACAUGCAAGUCGAACGGGAGAAUUGCUAGCUUGCUAAUAAUUCUCUAGUGGCGCACGGGUGAGUAACACGUGAGUAACCUGCCUCUUAGUGGGGGAUAGCCCUGGGAAACCGGGAUUAAUACCGCAUACGAUUGAAAGAUCAAAGCAGCAAUGCGCUAGGAGAUGGGCUCGCGGCCUAUUAGUUAGUUGGUGAGGUAACGGCUCACCAAGGCGAUGACGGGUAGCCGGUCUGAGAGGAUGUCCGGCCACACUGGAACUGAGACACGGUCCAGACACCUACGGGUGGCAGCAGUCGAGAAUCAUUCACAAUGGGGGCAACCCUGAUGGUGCGACGCCGCGUGGGGGAAUGAAGGUCUUCGGAUUGUAAACCCCUGUCAUGUGGGAGCAAAUUAAAAAGAUAGUACCACAAGAGGAAGAGACGGCUAACUCUGUGCCAGCAGCCGCGGUAAUACAGAGGUCUCAAGCGUUGUUCGGAAUCACUGGGCGUAAAGCGUGCGUAGGCUGUUUCGUAAGUCGUGUGUGAAAGGCAGGGGCUCAACCCCUGGAUUGCACAUGAUACUGCGAGACUAGAGUAAUGGAGGGGGAACCGGAAUUCUCGGUGUAGCAGUGAAAUGCGUAGAUAUCGAGAGGAACACUCGUGGCGAAGGCGGGUUCCUGGACAUUAACUGACGCUGAGGCACGAAGGCCAGGGGAGCGAAAGGGAUUAGAUACCCCUGUAGUCCUGGCAGUAAACGGUGCACGCUUGGUGUGCGGGGAAUCGACCCCCUGCGUGCCGGAGCUAACGCGUUAAGCGUGCCGCCUGGGGAGUACGGUCGCAAGAUUAAAACUCAAAGAAAUUGACGGGGACCCGCACAAGCGGUGGAGUAUGUGGCUUAAUUCGAUGCAACGCGAAGAACCUUACCUGGGCUUGACAUGUAAUGAACAACAUGUGAAAGCAUGCGACUCUUCGGAGGCGUUACACAGGUGCUGCAUGGCCGUCGUCAGCUCGUGUCGUGAGAUGUUUGGUUAAGUCCAGCAACGAGCGCAACCCCUGUUGCCAGUUACUAGCACGUCAAGGUGGGGACUCUGGCGAGACUGCCCAGAUCAACUGGGAGGAAGGUGGGGACGACGUCAGGUCAGUAUGGCCCUUAUGCCCAGGGCUGCACACGUACUACAAUGCCCAGUACAGAGGGGGCCGAAGCCGCGAGGCGGAGGAAAUCCUGAAAACUGGGCCCAGUUCGGACUGUAGGCUGCAACCCGCCUACACGAAGCCGGAAUCGCUAGUAAUGGCGCAUCAGCUACGGCGCCGUGAAUACGUUCCCGGGUCUUGUACACACCGCCCGUCACAUCAUGGAAGCCGGUCGCACCCGAAGUAUCUGAAGCCAACCGCAAGGAGGCAGGGUCCUAAGGUGAGACUGGUAACUGGGAUG
rnacentral:rRNA from 1 species